rnacentral:rRNA from 1 species
AACGCGAAGAACCUUACCUGGGCUCGAAAUGUAGAGGACGAUAUCAGAGAUGGUAUUUCCCGCAAGGGUCUCUAUAUAGGUGCUGCAUGGCUGUCGUCAGCUCGUGCCGUGAGGUGUUUGGUUAAGUCCAGCAACGAGCGCAACCCUUAUCGUUAGUUGCCAGCGCGUCAAGGCGGGAACUCUAACGAGACUGCCUGGGUUAACCAGGAGGAAGGCGAGGAUGACGUCAAGUCCGCAUGGCCUUUAUGUCCAGGGCUACACACGUGCUACAAUGGCCGGUACAGAAGGCAGCGAAACCGCGAGGUGGAGCAAAUCCCUAAAAACCGGUCUCAGUUCGGAUUGCAGACUGCAACUCGUCUGCAUGAAGUUGGAAUUGCUAGUAAUGGCGUGUCAGCAACAACGCCGUGAAUACGUUCCCGGGCCUUGUACACACCGUAGUAC